UAAAUUCAGAUUAUCCACAAGAAAUUUAAUAUUGACCAUUAGGAUUAAUGAAUAUGCGUAGUUUCUUAUUUCUUGUGAAGGAUCAUGAGUUGAGAUCCAUAAUAAGCGUCUUCGACUGACUAGUAUUGCCCUAUCAAUUUCGGGCUAAUUUCUAUUGAAAUCCAUGAUAAGGGUGUUCAGUAAGGGAUAUUACGUCAUAGUUUAAUUUCUUUUGAAGUUCACAUCAAAUGAAGCACAAGUUGCACCAUAAGAUGAUUGAAAUACAGGUACUUCAGAAAAUCAAUGCUGAAUUGCUGAUAUAUCCUAAUAUCUAAAAUAAGAUGUUCGCACAUUAUAGGCAAAUGUUGUUUUAAAACUAGUACUUCAUUAUCCAUUUAUCAUGUGAAGUAUGUACUUUUUAGGAUUUUACUUAUCUACACUUACAUUCACAAAUUUCACAUUAUUGUAGCAACCAGCAGGGCGUGUAUGUGGAUGCAGGGGAAUGACCCAAUAAUGUAAAUAUUUUUACAUUGUUAGCUAUAGAAGUUAUAGAACUCUGCCUUUCAUGGCAAUGAUUUAGCAGCUACAUGGAAUAGUUAAUUAUGUAAAUAUAACGAAGAUUUUAUAGACAUAACAAUAAUAUAAUUUGUAUCGAAUUUGUAAAAUGAACUUGGAGAAAC
rnacentral:lncRNA from 1 species